rnacentral:rRNA from 1 species
AUUGAACGCUGGCGGCAGGCCUAACACAUGCAAGUCGAGCGGAUGAAGGGAGCUUGCUCCUGGAUUCAGCGGCGGACGGGUGAGUAAUGCCUAGGAAUCUGCCUGGCAGUGGGGGAUAACGUCCGGAAACGGGCGCUAAUACCGCAUACGUCCUGAGGGUGAAAGUGGGGGAUCUUCGGACCUCACGCUAUCAGAUGAGCCUAGGUCGGAUUAGCUAGUUGGUGGGGUAAAGGCCUACCAAGGCGACGAUCCGUAACUGGUCUGAGAGGAUGAUCAGUCACACUGGAACUGAGACACGGUCCAGACUCCUACGGGAGGCAGCAGUGGGGAAUAUUGGACAAUGGGCGAAAGCCUGAUCCAGCCAUGCCGCGUGUGUGAAGAAGGUCUUCGGAUUGUAAAGCACUUUAAGUUGGGAGGAAGGGCAGUAAGUUAAUACCUUGCUGUUUUGACGUUACCAACAGAAUAAGCACCGGCUAACUUCGUG